rnacentral:rRNA from 1 species
GCUGAGUCCGGGCUGGGACGCGGGGAAAUACGGGAGGGUCUGGCGGUUUUCGGCAGUACUGGGCGUAAGGCGCGCGUAGGCGGCCAGGCAAGUGAGGCGUGAAAGGCCUGGGCUCAACCUGGGAACUGCGCUUCAGACUGCACGGCUUGAGUCCGGGAGAGGGUGGUGGAAUUCCCAGUGUAGAGGUGAAAUUCGUAGAUAUUGGGAGGAACACCAGUGGCGAAGGCGGCCACCUGGCCCGGUACUGACGCUCAAGUGCGAAAGCGUGGGGAGCAAACAGGAUUAGAUACCCUAGUAGUC